rnacentral:rRNA from 1 species
GAUGAACGCUAGCGGGAGGCCUAACACAUGCAAGCCGAGCGGUAUUGUUUCUUCGGAAAUGAGAGAGCGGCGUACGGGUGCGUAACACGUGUGCAACCUGCCUUUAUCUGGGGGAUAGCCUUUCGAAAGGGAGAUUAAUACUCCAUAAUAUAUUGAGCGGCAUCGUUUAAUAUUGAAAGCUCCGGCGGAUAGAGAUGGGCACGCGCAAGAUUAGCUAGUUGGUGAGGUAACGGCUCACCAAGGCGAUGAUCUUUAGGGGGCCUGAGAGGGUGAUCCCCCACACUGGUACUGAGACACGGACCAGACUCCUACGGGAGGCAGCAGUGAGGAAUAUUGGUCAAUGGGUGCAAGCCUGAACCAGCCAUCCCGCGUGAAGGACGACUGCCCUAUGGGUUGUAAACUUCUUUUGUAUAGGGAUAAACCUACCCUCGUGAGGGUAGCUGAAGGUACUAUACGAAUAAGCACCGGCUAACUCCGUGCCAGCCGCCGCGGUAA